rnacentral:rRNA from 1 species
CACUCCUACGGGAGGCAGCAGUGGGGAAUAUUGCACAAUGGGCGCAAGCCUGAUGCAGCCAUGCCGCGUGUAUGAAGAAGGCCUUCGGGUUGUAAAGUACUUUCAGCGGGGAGGAAGGCGAUAAGGUUAAUAACCUUGUCGAUUGACGUUACCCGCAGAAGAAGCACCGGCUAACUCCGUGCCAGCAGCCGCGGUAAUACGGAGGGUGCAAGCGUUAAUCGGAAUUACUGGGCGUAAAGCGCACGCAGGCGGUCUGUCAAGUCGGAUGUGAAAUCCCCGGGCUCAACCUGGGAACUGCAUUCGAAACUGGCAGGCUAGAGUCUUGUAGAGGGGGGUAGAAUUCCAGGUGUAGCGGUGAAAUGCGUAGAGAUCUGGAGGAAUACCGGUGGCGAAGGCGGCCCCCUGGACAAAGACUGACGCUCAGGUGCGAAAGCGUGGGGAGCAAACAGGAUUAGAUACCCCGGUAGUCCCAUG